rnacentral:lncRNA from 1 species
CUCGUGUCAAAAGCUAGUUCCAGCUCGGACCUUAAGUUGGAGGCAGGAGGCGCGGCCUCCAGCAGCGCGCCCACAGCGCCCUCUUGAGGCUCUGGAAGGUAUCAUAGAACAGAAGGAUGCAGGAGGGGACCGAGGUUCUAAGGAAGGGAUAUUGGGGAAGGGGCGUUGGAGCAGGCGAGCUGCAGAUCUCUUGAGGCUCCGAGGUCACCCGAAUGCUGUGUCCACAGGACUCCGGGUCCUGGGCGUCGUCAACAGCGGCUGGGUUGACGGGACCCACGCGGAUCCAGCUCACAUGGCGCAAGACUCUCAACGCCUCCUCCCUCCCCUCUGCGUUCGCGCGACGAGUUCCGCAUCUUUAUCACCGCUCCCCCUGGGCUAUGUGUGGCGGCCUAGACCUCCGGGUGUCCCCAGAUGGAGCAGGUGCUUGGAUGCCGCGCCGGGUUGGGGCAGGAUGUUCGGAUGAGCCCUAUGACUUUGGCGGCCUCAGUUUCCCCAGGAUGACUGCCCUCGUGCGUGGUCAGCCAAGAGGAGCGGGUCAGAGUAUCCACCACGCACCGUGAGCGCCCAGAGGAGUGCAUCCGCCCAAGUCCCACCUCCUAAGACUCCAGACUGUCCCUACCUCUCAGCACGUCUCCGCUCUGAUCUUGAUUUUCCUGGAGGUCGACCCAGGAGUUGGAAAUGCUUAGCUUGAAGUCAAUGUCCCCAGUGUAAGUGUCUGCGAGACGGCUCGCCGGGUGUAGGCGCUUGCCACCAAGCCUGACCACCUGAGUUUUCUGUGGAAGGAGAGAAGCAACACGGAAGUUAUGCUCUGAUCUUCACAUGCGCUGUGGUGCGCACGCGCACACAUCCCCC